GACGAACGCUGGCGGCGUGCUUAACACAUGCAAGUCGAACGGAAAGGCCCUGCUUUUGUGGGGUGCUCGAGUGGCGAACGGGUGAGUAACACGUGAGUAACCUGCCCUGGACUUUGGGAUAACUUCAGGAAACUGGGGCUAAUACCGGAUAGGAGCUCCUGCUGCAUGGUGGGGGUUGGAAAGUUUCGGCGGUUGGGGAUGGACUCGCGGCUUAUCAGCUUGUUGGUGGGGUAGUGGCUUACCAAGGCUUUGACGGGUAGCCGGCCUGAGAGGGUGACCGGCCACAUUGGGACUGAGAUACGGCCCAGACUCCAACGGGAGGCAGCAGUGGGGAAUAUUGCACAAUGGGCGGAAGCCUGAUGCAGCAACGCCGCGUGCGGGAUGACGGCCUUCGGGUUGUAAACCGCUUUCGCCUGUGACGAAGCGUGAGUGACGGUAAUGGGUAAAGAAGCACCGGCUAACUACGUG
rnacentral:rRNA from 1 species